CAGUUUUGAGUUCUGUGCCCCCAUCCACCAUGAGCUGGGCUGAGACUAACAAAACUCAUUUCACUGGGUACAUUUCCGGCUGGGAAGAGAAAAUUGUCAUCAGUGCGGGUAACAUUCAAACUAGGCUUCCAAGUGAAAAAAAAACUAUUACACAGCUCCCAGUGAUCCAUUAAGUUUAAACUCUUCUUGCAGCCUCUUGGGUAAUGACAUUGCAGCUUGCAAACUAUUUUUAGAAUACUCUACAAGAAACCAGGACUUUUCUGCUCUGUUCGGUGCUGAGGGGAGGGAUUUGAGGAGUUGUUAUCCAGGACAGUCCCUGGGAGAUAAAGUGGACAAUGAAUGGAUGAAGUCCAAGAUAACAGUCAGGUGCUAUGAAUGAAAAUGAAGAUAGAAUAUUGAUCAU